rnacentral:rRNA from 1 species
GACGAACGCUGGCGGCAGGCUUAACACAUGCAAGUCGAACGGAAAGGCCCUGCUUUUGUGGGGUUCUCGAUUGGCGAACGGGUGAGUAACACGUGAGUAACCUGCCCUUGACUUUGGGAUAACUUCAGGUAACGGGGGCUAAUACCGUAUAGGAUCUCCUGCUGCGUGGAGGGGGGUGGAAAGUUUCGGCGGGUGGGGAUGGACUCGCGGCUUAUCAGCUUGUUGGUGGGGUAGUGGCUUACCAAGGCUUUGACGGGUAGCCGGCCUGAGAGGGUGACCGGCCACAUUGGGACUGAGAUACGGACCAGACUCCUACGGGAGGCAGCAGUGGGGAAUAUUGCCCAAUGGGCGGAAGCCUGAUGCAGCAACGCCGCGUGCGGGAUGACGGCCUUCGGGUUGUAAACCGCUUUCGCCUGUGACGACGCGUGAGUGACGGUAAUGGGUAAAGAAGCACCGGCUAACUACGUG